rnacentral:rRNA from 1 species
UGGCGGACGGGUGAGUAAUGUCUGGGAAACUGCCCGAUGGAGGGGGAUAACUACUGGAAACGGUAGCUAAUACCGCAUAACGUCGCAAGACCAAAGGGGGGACCUUCGGGCCUCUUGCCAUCGGAUGUGCCCAGAUGGGAUUAGCUAGUAGGUGGGGUAACGGCUCACCUAGGCGACGAUCCCUAGCUGGUCUGAGAGGAUGACCAGCCACACUGGAACUGAGACACGGUCCAG